UAACCAAAGAAUUUCGGUAUGAGAUGAGCCCGCGUCCCAUUAGCUAGUUGGUAAGGUAAAAGCUUACCAAGGCGACGAUGGGUAGCCGACCUGAGAGGGUGAUCGGCCACACUGGAACUGAGACACGGUCCAGACUCCUACGGGAGGCAGCAGUGGGGAAUAUUGCACAAUGGGCGAAAGCCUGAUGCAGCAACGCCGCGUGAGCGAUGAAGGUCUUCGGAUCGUAAAGCUCUGUCCUCAAGGGAAGUUUUGACGGUACUUGAGGAGGAAGCCCCGGCUAACUACGUGCCAGCAGCCGCGGUAAUACGUAGGGGGCUAGCGUUAUCCGGAAUUAUUGGGCGUAAAGGGUGCGUAGGCGGUCCUGCAAGUCAGAGGUGAAAGGCUACGGCUCAACCGUAGUAAGCCUUCGGAAACUGGAGAUCUUGAGGACAGGAGAGGAAAGUGGAAUUCCUAGUGUAGCGGUGAAAUGCGUAGAUAUUAGGAGGAACACCAGUGGCGAAGGCGACUUUCUGGACUGUAACUGACGCUGAGGCGCGAAAGCGUGGGGAGCAAACAGGAUUAGAUACCCUGGUAGUCCACGCCGUAAACGAUGAGUACUAGGUGUCGGGGGUUCCCCCCUCGGUGCCGCAGCUAACGCAUUAAGUACUCCGCCUGGGGAGUACGGUCGCAAGGUUGAAACUCAAAGGAAUUGACGGGGGCCCGCACAAGCGGUGGAGCAUGUGGUUUAAUUCGACGCAACGCGAAGAACCUUACCAGGGCUUGACAUCCUACGAAUUCCUAGGAAACUAGGGAGUGCCCUUCGGGGAGCGUAGAGACAGGUGGUGCAUGGUUGUCGUCAGCUCGUGUCGUGAGAUGUUGGGUUAAGUCCCGCAACGAGCGCAACCCCUGUGUUAGUUGCCAGCAAGUAAUGUUGGGCACUCUAGCCAGACUGCCGGCGAUAAGUCGGAGGAAGGUGGGGAUGACGUCAAAUCAUCAUGCCCCUUAUGUCCUGGGCUACACACGUACUACAAUGGCCGCUACAAUGGGAAGCCAAGGAGUAAUCCGGAGCAAAUCCCUUAAAGGCGGUCCCAGUUCGAAUUGUGGGCUGCAACUCGCCCACAUGAAGUCGGAAUUGCUAGUAAUGGCAGAUCAGCAUGCUGCCGUGAAUACGUUCCCGGGCCUUGUACACACCGCCCGCACACCAUGAGAGUCGGAAACACCCGAAGCCUGUGAGGUAACUGUAAAGAGCCAGCAGUCGAAGGUGGGUUCGAUGAUUGGGGUGAAGUCGUAACAAGGUAACC
rnacentral:rRNA from 1 species